UGCGAUCGUGGCGGAAUUGGCAGACGCGCAGGACUAAGGAUCCUGUGGUAGAAAUACCGUGAGGGUUCGACCCCCUCCGUUCGCAU
rnacentral:tRNA from 1 species